AUUGAACGCUGGCGGCGUGCUUAACACAUGCAAGUCGUGCGGUAACAGGCGUAGCAAUACGUGCUGACGAGCGGCGAACGGGUGCGUAAUACAUGGGAAUCUGCCUUUUAGUGGGGAAUAACCCGGCGAAAGCCGGGCUAAUGCCGCAUAAGAUCUUCGGAUGAAAGCGGGGAGUCGUAAGACCUCGCGCUGAUAGAUGAGCCCACUGCCGGA
rnacentral:rRNA from 1 species